rnacentral:rRNA from 1 species
UACGUAGGGUGCAAGCGUUGUCCGGAAUUAUUGGGCGUAAAGAGCUCGUAGGCGGUUCGUCGCGUCGGCUGUGAAAUCCCGAGGCUCAACCUCGGGUCUGCAGUCGAUACGGGCGGACUGGAGUACUGCAGGGGAGACUGGAAUUCCUGGUGUAGCGGUGAAAUGCGCAGAUAUCAGGAGGAACACCGGUGGCGAAGGCGGGUCUCUGGGCAGUAACUGACGCUGAGGAGCGAAAGCGUGGGGAGCAAACAGG